UACGUAGGGGACGAGCGUUGUCCGGAAUUACUGGGCGUAAAGGGCGCGCAGGCGGUAUAUCAAGUCAGCUGUCAAAGACUGGGGCUCAACCCUGGUAUGCGGUUGAAACUGAUAUGCUGGAGUGCUGUAGAGGCAAGUGGAAUUCCCAGUGUAGCGGUGAAAUGCGUAGAUAUUGGGAAGAACACCGGUGGCGAAGGCGACUUGCUGGGCAGCAACUGAUGCUGAGGCGCGAAAGCUAGGGGAGCGAACAGGA
rnacentral:rRNA from 1 species